rnacentral:rRNA from 1 species
GACGAACGCUGGCGGCGUGCUUAACACAUGCAAGUCGAGCGGUAAGGCCCUUCGGGGUACACGAGCGGCGAACGGGUGAGUAACACGUGGGUAACCUGCCCUGUACUCUGGGAUAAGCCUUGGAAACGAGGUCUAAUACCGGAUAUGACCAUUGAUCGCAUGAUCGGUGGUGGAAAGUUCCGGCGGUAUGGGAUGGACCCGCGGCCUAUCAGCUUGUUGGUGGGGUAAUGGCCUACCAAGGCGACGACGGGUAGCCGGCCUGAGAGGGUGAUCGGCCACACUGGGACUGAGACACGGCCCAGACUCCUACGGGAGGCAGCAGUGGGGAAUAUUGCACAAUGGGCGAAAGCCUGAUGCAGCGACGCCGCGUGAGGGAUGACGGCCUCGG